GAUGAAGAACGUAGCGAAAUGCGAUACGUAAUGUGAAUUGCAGAAUUCAGUGAAUCAUCGAGUCUUUGAACGCACAUUGCGCCCUUUGGUAUUCCAAAGGGCAUGCCUGUUCGAGCGUCAUUUGUACCCUCAAGCUUUGCUUGGUGUUGGGCGUCUUGUCUCUAGCUUUGCUGGAGACUCGCCUUAAAGUAAUUGGCAGCCGGCCUACUGGUUUCGGAGCGCAGCACAAGUCGCACUCUCUAUCAGCAAAGGUCUAGCAUCCAUUAAGCCUUUUUUUCAACUUUUGACCUCGGAUCAGGUAGGGAUACCCGCUGAACUUAAGCAUAUCAAUAAGCGGAGGA
rnacentral:misc_RNA from 1 species